rnacentral:rRNA from 1 species
GAUGAACGCUGACAGAAUGCUUAACACAUGCAAGUCAUUGGCGAAGCUGCGCUUGCGCAGUCUAGCCAAGGCGGACGGGUGAGUAACGCGUAAGGAACUUGCCCUGCAGACAGGGAUAACAGACGGAAACGACUGAUAACACCUGGUAUUGUCAGGCUGGCGCAUGCCGGCCUGAUGAAAGGAGACGCUGCAGGAGAGCCUUGCGUCCUAUUAGCUAGUUGGUGGGGUAACGGCCCACCAAGGCGAUGAUAGGUAGCCGGCCUGAGAGGGUGAACGGCCACAAGGGGACUGAGAUACGGCCCGUACUCCUACGGGAGGCAGCAGUGGGGAAUAUUGGACAAUGGGGGCAACCCUGAUACAGCAAUUCUGUGUGCACGAAGAAGGUUUUCGGAUUGUAAAGUGCUUUCAGCAGGGAAGAAGAAAGUGACGGUACCUGCAGAAGAAGCGACGGCUAAAUACGU